CGAAGCCUCAAUGGUUUAGACAUUGGUUGUGUUGAUGGAGAUCCCGAUGAUCCCAACAUGGUUAAAAAUAAUAAUUUAAAAACGUAUUACUUGAUCAAUUGAAGAUUAUACAAAAAAGGUUUGAUUUGCUUUUAGCACAGUUUGAAUUGGCUGUAGAUAAAUCCCAUAAGUCAUUGGUUGUUGAUAUGCAAUUGGAUUAAACGUAAAUCUCAAAGUAAUUUUCAUCGAUAAGUUUCACAAAUCUUUUUACAUUUAAACAAAAGCUGGACUUGUUGCAGUGUAACAAAAUGUUGAUGUAACUUGGUAUGAAUGUUGAUAAACGUGAUCAUCAAAGUUAUCAAAACAAGAACAUAUUAUAUGGCGGAAGACUAUUGUGAAAAUAAAAGGCAACUGACGGUAAAAUAGGAAGAUGAUGUUGGAUGAAAAAAUACGAAAGAAAAAUACCUUUAAUCAGAGUAAAAAUUAAAUGACUGAGGUGAAAAGUCUUAAUAAUUUUACCUCUAUCCAGGGUAAGGUGAAGAAGAUGCUAAAACAGAAGAAAGAGAAGUAAGGUCAAAAGCUAUUCUGUCAAAUUGUCCUGGAUAAAAUUUUCUUGUACCGUUGGCCUAAUAACCCUCAAGAACCACCCUGAAGGAGGAGAGACCUGAGAUGAUUAGAUAAUGAGGAUAAAUAGAGAUUCAGUGAAGGAGGUUGGAGCUAGAGCGAAAAAAAAACAUGAAGAUAAGCAAGAGAGGGAAUCAAUUUUAUUCAGUUUUAUUAUUAUUUACUGUUAUUUCUCUCCAACUCUCUUUCUCAUUCUCUCCCUCUCUACACUGACAGACAACUUUGAAGGAAUCAAAGAAAGAGUGAGAAACCAGAAAAUUGUCCGUCCAAAAAGAGAGAGAGAGAGAGAGAAGAUGAUGGGAGGUAAAAGGUAACCUGAAUAAUAAUGAAUUAAGAAAGCGUAGUUACAAAAAGGGGUUGACUGUACGUUGACUGCGUGCUUAUUUUAACAUUUAUUUGAUCGUUGUUGCAAUGCUGUUAAGAAAGAUAAAAAAGCUAACAUUUUGUCUAACGGUACCUAGUUACCCAAUAAGCCUUAAAGAAAAAAGAAGGAGGAGAAAGAAGAGAAUGAAGAAAAGCAAGAAUCAUGUAACUGUCCGGGAACGUAGGUUAGAUAUAAGAAUGUGUUUCCAAUCAGCAGGCAUAAAUCAAAGGUUAAAAGACUAACAACCUCUAUAGAUUUUGAUGAUUUCAAUUGUGAGGAGAUGAAGUUUAUUAGAGGAUGAAUGAAACAAACGAUGAAUUUAAAAACAAAAAUUAUAACUGUCAACCUCAUAUUUCAAUGAUCGAUUGUAGUAAAUAUGUUUAAUUGCAGAGCAAUUUAUUCACAGAUCGACAAGAUUGGAGUCGAAAUGGUUUACAAAAAUAUUUGAAUAUUUACCAAUGGUCCUUUCUUAUGUUAACCAUUAUAACCGUUAUCUCCUUUGAUAUUUAAAUGUGAGAGUAAUCCCGAUGAGUUUGUUCCCUCAUUAAUUUAUAUUCAAUAUCUUGAUUACAUAGGUUUCAUGGACCAAUAGAGAACCAUGACCCAGUCAAUUAUUACAGAAGCCGUCAUCCUGAAGUUGGAAACAAUUUAGGCUGUCUAUUAGCCGACCAUGGACAUGACCGGUUGGCCAAUUCAAGAGGAAAAACUUAUUCAACGAACCAAACUAAUUCCUUUUCAAGAUAAAAAAUAUUGGCAUUUUCUUAUGCUGAAAUGGCCCUCCAUGACAUUACUUAGCUGAAAUAGCUUUUAUGCUACUUUCAGAGCGAUCCCAAUAUGCGUUGAUUCUUAGACCCCUGAUUUGUCGACUCCAAUUAGCGUAUGGACUUAUAAGUAAAGCAAAUUUACAAUCAAAUGGAAAUUGUUGGAAGUACAAUUUAACCAGACAAGAUAUAACUUAACUGUUAUUAGAGAAAAACAUUAAGGCCUAUGGUCGAGUACUGAGUGCCUGAUCUUCUAUGGUCACACAUGAACUUUCUCUUUGGUCGUCAAGCUGUACGAUCUGAUUUCCUGGUGACCUGGUCGAGGUGCUCAAAAUCAUGGAAGCGUCUCUGGUCACUCAUAUGUACCAACCCAUAAACCUGGUCCUCUAAAUAAUAAGCCAAAAUUGACCCACUCCAUCACCAAUGAAUGAAUAACCACUCAAAGUGCAUGAAUGUGUCCUAAAUACUUCACAGUUUGAAUGAACAUUCAUUGGAUCGUAGAAUCAGGCAAAGCCUCUGCAGGAGUGAAGACCUAAUUUAAGUCUAAAUUCAGUUGGAAAAAAAAGAUGGAGACGAUCAAGUGAACAAAACAAACCGCUCAAGGCUCAUCAUUAGUAUCAUCUUUUGGCGUUCCUACUGAAUCGGUAAAGCCAUGAUUGGUCCCCUUGGUGCAAGUUAAACGCACGGAAUAGCACAUAAAAAGAUUUUAUCCAAACAAAGCCAGGCCACAAAU